AUUGAACGCUGGCGGCAGGCCUAACACAUGCAAGUCGACGAUAGCGGCGGACGGGUGAGUAACACGUGGGUAACCUGCCCAUCAGAAGGGGAUAACACUUGGAAACAGGUGCUAAUACCGUAUACUGAUGGAUGGACCCGCGGUGCAUUAGCUAGUUGGUGAGGUAACGGCUCACCAAGGCCACGAUGCAUAGCCGACCUGAGAGGGUGAUCGGCAACAUUGGGACUGAGACACGGCCCAAACUCCUACGUGAGGCAGCAGUGGGGAAUAUUGCACAAUGGGCGCAAGCCUGAUGCAGCCAUGCCGCGUGUAUGAAGAAGGCCUUCGGGUUGUAAAGUACUUUCAGCGGGGAGGCGUUACCCGCAGAAGAAGCACCGGCUAACUCCGUGCCAGCAGCCGCGGUAAUUC
rnacentral:rRNA from 1 species